UACGGGGGGGGGCAAGCGUUGUUCGGAAUUACUGGGCGUAAAGGGCGCGUAGGCGGUUCGCUAAGUUGAAUGUGAAAACUCUGGGCUUAACCCAGAGCCUGCAUCCAAAACUGGCGAACUGGAGUACUGGAGGGGAAAGCGGAAUUCCUGGUGUAGCGGUGAAAUGCGUAGAUAUCAGGAGGAACACCGGUGGCGAAGGCGGCUUUCUGGACAGUAACUGACGCUGAGGCGCGAAAGCUAGGGGAGCAAACAGG
rnacentral:rRNA from 1 species